rnacentral:lncRNA from 13 species
AAUUAUAAUGUAGUCUGGGUGGAUUAUAAUGUAGUCUGGGUGGAUUAUAAUGUAGCCUGGGUGAAGGGGAUUAUAAUGUAGCCUGGGUGGAUUAUAAUGUAGCCUGGGUGGAUUAUAAUGUAGCCUGGGUGGAUUAUAAUGUAG